GCGUUUGGGGCGUUCUCCCAGCCGUGCGCUCCGGGAGGGGAUUCGCGGCUCACGCGGGGUGAAUACCCUGGCGCCUCUGAUUAGCACUUCUUGGCAGGAAGACCUCGGAUAUUUUCACCAGAGCUCGGUCUCUGGAUUUAUUGUGGGCUACUGCCGUCUAUGGGGUUGCACAGAGUCGGACACGACUGAAGCGACUUAGCAGCAGUAGUAGCUGUAACAAUGUGAUCAUCACCAGUCUGGGUCCACCGUAAGGAAUUCUGCACGUCGUGUAUCAAACUCUGGAAGAUCUGCGGAGCAGAACUUCCUGAUGGGCCAUCCUGUGGUCCCCGUGUGUGCGUACAUGCUAAGUUGCUUACCAUCAUGCAAAAGAUGAAAUUGAAGCAAGAAGACAUCUUUGACUGGAAAGUGAUUAGAACACUUAAUCCUCCAGUUAUAGCCUAUCCACAGUGAGCUUUAUCUUGGUUGAGCCAAUCAUGGCAAGGGCGGAAAGUAUGUUAGCUGCCUUAGCUCCUGGGCUAAGAAUGGAAUCUUAGCCGCUGAGACACAGGAUGUAUCCACGUAGCUCUUAACCAUAGCUUUCUCUGUGCUCUCCUUCUCCUGUCCUGGCCCCAGGUGGGAAGACUGGAUUUCUUCUUUACAUUAUUCACCAACAUUGUACAUUUAACCCCUCUACAGCCCUGCCCUGAAUUCCAACCUAGAGCUGGAUUUGGCUCUAUUCUGAAAGCAAGUUACUGUGUCCACCCAGCAAGACUGACUCCAGGUCAUCUGCUUGCCUGCAACGUGUUGCUGUCAUUUCCUGACCUAUGCUUUUUAAAACCUUGUUUACUGACAUAUUCCUGAACCAAACCUAAAUGUCUCAAGCUCUUUGAAUCACAGGUCCAACAUCUGCUGCUAGUUAGUAAUUAACCAUUUCAAUAUUGCCUUCUCCCACACUUAGACCAGCUUGUAUCAUGCAUGGUAGGAUGAGAUGGUAGUUCUAUCUUUAAUUAUUUGGAGAACCUCCAUACUGUUUUUCGUAGUGGCUGCACCAAUUUACAUUCCCAUCAACAAUGCAUGGGGUUUCCCUCUUCUCCACGUCCUCACUAACAUUUGUUGUUCCUUGUCUUUUUGAUUAUAGCCAUUCUAAAGGUGUGAGGUGAUAUCUCAGGAUGGUUUUGAUGUGCACUUUCCUGGCCUGCCAGGCUCCUUCCUCUGUCCAUGGGAUUCUCCAGGCAAGAAUACUGGAGUGGGUUGCAUGCCCUCCUCCAGGAGACCUCCCUGAGCCAGAGAUUGGACCCACAUCCCUUAUGUUUCCUGCUUGGCAGGCAGGUUCUUUACCACUAGCGCCACCUGGGAAGCCCAAUAACUAGCAACGUUGAGCAGCUUUCAUGUACCUGCUGGCCAUCUGUUUGUCUGUCUUCUUUGGGAAAAUGUUUAGUCAGAUCUGCUCAUUUAAAAUUGGAUGGUUUGGGGGAUUUUUGCUCUUGAGUUGCAUGAGUUCUUUAUGCAUUUUGGAUAUUAACCCAUACCAGAUAUAUGAGUUACAAAUUUUUCUCCAGUUUGGUAGCUUGCCUUUUCAUUUUGAUGGUUUCCUUUAUUAUAAAGAAGAUUUUCAGUUUGAUGUAGUCCCACAUGUUUAUUUGUGCUUUAUUGCCUUUGAUUUUGUUGUCAGAUCCAGAAAACCAUUGCUACGACUAAUGCCAAGGAGUUUUCCAUCAUCAAUUCUUAAUUAAAAAGUAAGAAGACAAAUACCUCUGGCUUCUAUUUGAAUAUAUAAUAAGAUCUGACAAACCUUAGCUCAGUAUGUUAGAAGUGACUAUGGCUACAAAAUAGCAAGUAUUUAAAAGAAAUAUUACUAAUAUUAUAAAGGAUACAGGAUAAUAGACACUCUCAUAUACUACUUGUGAAACUUAAAAGUGUUAAGCCUUAUCUAGGGUGUUCACUAAAUAAUUUUAGAAAAAAAUACAUCUGUUUUGAGCCAACAGAUAUCCAUAAAAUGAAAUGACAAAUAAAUUAUUUGCCCUUUUCAAAGUU